GAAGACCAGGGGGGCCUCCGCAGGAGCGGUCGCCAUAGUCAAACCUGUCAGAGGAAAACAGGAGCUUGUGGGACCUGGACCCAGCCACCAAGAGCCCACCCCGAAGACCCUGUGGAUCCUGCUCCCUGAGAGGGACCCGACACCCAACCUAUCUUCUCCAGAUGGGAUCUGAGCCCCUUGUAUGUUCUAUGGACUUUCAGCAUCAGCAUUGCCUGGGGACUUUUUAGAAAUGCAGAAUCCUGGGCCCCAUCCCAAGCCUACUGAUUCAAAAUCUCUCUGGGAGGCACAGGACUGUUUCCCCAAGUCCUCCAGGAAAUACUUAUGUACACUGAAAUCUGAGAAGCUCUGCA
rnacentral:lncRNA from 1 species